rnacentral:rRNA from 1 species
GAUGAACGCUGGCGGCGUGCCUAAUACAUGCAAGUCGAGCGAACAGACGAGGAGCUUGCUCCUCUCACGUUAGCGGCGGACGGGUGAGUAACACGUGGAUAACCUACCUAUAAGACUGGGAUAACUUCGGGAAACCGGAGCUAAUACCGGAUAAUAUAUUGAACCGCAUGGUUCAAUAGUGAAAGACGGUUUUGCUGUCACUUAUAGAGGGAUCCGCGCCGCAUUAGCUAGUUGGUAAGGUAACGGCUUACCAAGGCAACGAUGCGUAGCCGACCUGAGAGGGUGAUCGGCCACACUGGAACUGAGACACGGUCCAGACUCCUACGGGAGGCAGCAGUAGGGAAUCUUCCGCAAUGGGCGAAAGCCUGACGGAGCAACGCCGCGUGAGUGAUGAAGGUCUUCGGAUCGUAAAACUCUGUUAUUAGGGAAGAACAAAUGUGUAAGUAACUAUGCACGUCUUGACGGUACCUAAUCAGAAAGCCACGGCUAACUACGUG